AUAGUAUUGUUUAAGUGGGCAUCCAAACAAAUCAUGCAAUGUUUUAAAAUUCAAAAACACCACCAUUAUGUUAGAUUGUGGUCUUGAUGCAAUGUCAGUUCUUCACUUUUUGCCACUCCCUCUUAUUCCAAGUUCUAGAUUAGCUAAUCUUUCAACUUGGAUACCUCGCAAUUCUAAUGAUGCUCAGUUAGAAGGAGAAUUAAGAGAAUGUGCCGGAAGAGUAUUUAUUGAUAGUUCACCAGAAUUUUGCUUACCUGAGGU